AACGAACGCUGGCGGCAUGCCUAACACAUGCAAGUCGAACGAGACCUUCGGGUCUAGUGGCGCACGGGGGCGUAACGCGGGGGAACCUGCCCUUAGGUUCGGCAUAACUCCCCGAAAGGGGUGCUAAUACCGGCUAAUGUCUUCGGACCAAAGAUUUAUCGCCUUUGGAUGGGCCGGCGUUGGAUUAGCUAGUUGGUAGGGUAAAAGCCUACGAAGGCGACGAUCCAUAGCUGGUCUGAGAGGAAGAUCAGCCACACUGGUACUGGGACACGGCCGAGACUCCUACGGGAGGCAGCAGUGGGGAAUAUUGGACAAUGGGGGAAAGCCUGAUCCAGCAAGGCCGCGUGAGUGAUGAAGGCCGUAGGGUUGUAAAGCUAGUUUACCCGGGAUGAUAAUGACAGUACCGGGAGAAUAAGCUCCGGCUAACUCCGUG
rnacentral:rRNA from 1 species